GUAUAUUUAUUGUGGCACUAUUCACAAUAGCAAAGACUUGGAAUCAACCCAAAUGUCCAUCAGUGACAGACUGGAUUAAGAAAAUGUGGCACAUAUACACCAUGGAAUACUAUGCAGCCAUAAAAAAGGAUGAGUUCGUGUCCUUUGUAGGGACAUGGGUGCAGCCGGAAACCAUCAUUCUCAGCAAACUUUCGCAAGAACAGAAAACCAAACACCACAUGUUCUCACUCAUAGGUGGGAAUUGAACAACGAGAUCACUUGGACAUGGGACGGGAAACAUCACACACUGCGGCCUGUUAUGGGGAGAAGGGACGGGGGAGGGAUAGCAUUGGGAGUUAUAACUGAUGUAAAUGACGAGUUGAUGGGUGCAGCACACCAACAUGGCACAUGUAUACAUAUGUAACAAACCUGCACGUUGUGCACAUGUACCCUAGAACUUAAAGUAUAAUUUAAAUAAAAUAAAAUAAAAUAAAGUAGGAGUAAUCAUAGUGCCUCCCUCACUGGUUUGUUGUCAGGAUCAAAUAAAAUAAUGCACAUAAAGUUCUCAGAACAAAGCAGUCUAACACAAGCUAAGCACUCAGGAAAUGUUAUUUCAAAAUACAGUGUGUCACUUAACAAUGGGGAUAUAUCGCAUCAUUAGGCAUUGACUGUGCAAACAUCAUAGAGUGCAGUAGUUUCACAAACCCAUAUGAUAUGGUCUACUACACAUUGAGGGUGUAUGACUUCUAGGCUGCGAACCUGUACAGUAUAUGACUGUACUGAAUACUGUAGACAAUUGUAACACAAUGAUACAUAUUUGUAUAUUUAAACAUAGAAAGGUAAUAGGUUGUGGCACAACCUUAGGAUGACUACGACGUGGUAGGCGAUAGGAAUUUGUCCAUUCCAUUAUAAUCUUAGGUAAGCACCAUCAUAUAUGCACUGUGUCAUAGGUUUUACAUCUUCCUUAAUGAUCAAUCAUGUUCUCUCAUUUCCCAUCCUGUGAAGCCUGUUUAAGGGUUUAGCUCAGUGUGUUAAGAGUCGACCUGUCAAUUCUUUGAAAAAGGGCAGGCUAAAUCAAAUUGUGUUGCCAAAUCUCAAAUUUUCAGGAUUCAUUUGAGCAAUAUCAUGGUAUUAGUCAGGGUUCGAUUAGAAAAAAAAUUGUUUUUAACUCUCUGAUAUUUAAAGCAAGAAUAAAUUUAAUACAGUGAACAUAGUGAUUUAAAAAUGCAUAGAAAGGGCUGGAGGAGCAGCGAUCAUAAAGAACAUUCGCUAUUACUCAAUCACGAAGAACACUCAGUUUCAUCACCAGCCAUGAGAGGAUUAGGAAGUUUCAGGAAUCACAGGAAGCCCUCCACCAUGGAUCUCAGCUCACCAUAGCACCUGAUGAACAAUUUCCAGGGGAUCCGCAGGAGCUGCAAAGCAUCAUGUCUGUUGAAGCCCAAGACAUCUCCCCAUUGAAUAAAGAAUAAUGGUUUCUGCUUUUCAUUCACCUUUCAGACUUUGUAACCUCUGCUUGCUGAACUCUAACCAGGAAACCUGCUGGCAAAGGAUUCUGGGACACGUAUUUUCUAGGCUUCUAGUCACUGUGAUUUGAGGACAGCCAGAAAAAGAAAUAAGGGUGCAUGCUGGCUGCUCCAAAAGAAAUAAUAUGCAGCAGUCACUCCUCUGGCCAUUUAGCAUCUAUAUAAACCUUUCUAACUAUGUUUAAACUUUUAAACACCAAAAAAAAAAAAAAAAA
ensembl:lncRNA